CGGGACACGUGGUAUCCUGUCUGAAUAUGGGGGGACCAUCCUCCAAGGCUAAAUACUCCUGACUGACCGAUAGUGAACCAGUACCGUGAGGGAAAGGCGAAAAGAACCCCGGCGAGGGGAGUGAAAAAGAACCUGAAACCGUGUACGUACAAGCAGUGGGAGCACGCUUAGGCGUGUGACUGCGUACCUUUUGUAUAAUGGGUCAGCGACUUAUAUUCUGUAGCAAGGUUAACCGAAUAGGGGAGCCGAAGGGAAACCGAGUCUUAACUGGGCGUUAAGUUGCAGGGUAUAGACCCGAAACCCGGUGAUCUAGCCAUGGGCAGGUUGAAGGUUGGGUAACACUAACUGGAGGACCGAACCGACUAAUGUUGAAAAAUUAGCGGAUGACUUGUGGCUGGGGGUGAAAGGCCAAUCAAACCGGGAGAUAGCUGGUUCUCCCCGAAAGCUAUUUAGGUAGCGCCUCGUGAAUUCAUCUCCGGGGGUAGAGCACUGUUUCGGCAAGGGGGUCAUCCCGACUUACCAACCCGAUGCAAACUGCGAAUACCGGAGAAUGUUAUCACGGGAGACACACGGCGGGUGCUAACGUCCGUCGUGAAGAGGGAAACAACCCAGACCGCCAGCUAAGGUCCCAAAGUCAUGGUUAAGUGGGAAACGAUGUGGGAAGGCCCAGACAGCCAGGAUGUUGGCUUAGAAGCAGCCAUCAUUUAAAGAAAGCGUAAUAGCUCACUGGUCGAGUCGGCCUGCGCGGAAGAUGUAACGGGGCUAAACCAUGCACCGAAGCUGCGGCAGCGACGCUUAUGCGUUGUUGGGUAGGGGAGCGUUCUGUAAGCCUGCGAAGGUGUGCUGUGAGGCAUGCUGGAGGUAUCAGAAGUGCGAAUGCUGACAUAAGUAACGAUAAAGCGGGUGAAAAGCCCGCUCGCCGGAAGACCAAGGGUUCCUGUCCAACGUUAAUCGGGGCAGGGUGAGUCGACCCCUAAGGCGAGGCCGAAAGGCGUAGUCGAUGGGAAACAGGUUAAUAUUCCUGUACUUGGUGUUACUGCGAAGGGGGGACGGAGAAGGCUAUGUUGGCCGGGCGACGGUUGUCCCGGUUUAAGCGUGUAGGCUGGUUUUCCAGGCAAAUCCGGAAAAUCAAGGCUGAGGCGUGAUGACGAGGCACUACGGUGCUGAAGCAACAAAUGCCCUGCUUCCAGGAAAAGCCUCUAAGCAUCAGGUAACAUCAAAUCGUACCCCAAACCGACACAGGUGGUCAGGUAGAGAAUACCAAGGCGCUUGAGAGAACUCGGGUGAAGGAACUAGGCAAAAUGGUGCCGUAACUUCGGGAGAAGGCACGCUGAUAUGUAGGUGAAGUCCCUCGCGGAUGGAGCUGAAAUCAGUCGAAGAUACCAGCUGGCUGCAACUGUUUAUUAAAAACACAGCACUGUGCAAACACGAAAGUGGACGUAUACGGUGUGACGCCUGCCCGGUGCCGGAAGGUUAAUUGAUGGGGUUAGCGCAAGCGAAGCUCUUGAUCGAAGCCCCGGUAAACGGCGGCCGUAACUAUAACGGUCCUAAGGUAGCGAAAUUCCUUGUCGGGUAAGUUCCGACCUGCACGAAUGGCGUAAUGAUGGCCAGGCUGUCUCCACCCGAGACUCAGUGAAAUUGAACUCGCUGUGAAGAUGCAGUGUACCCGCGGCAAGACGGAAAGACCCCGUGAACCUUUACUAUAGCUUGACACUGAACAUUGAGCCUUGAUG
rnacentral:rRNA from 1 species